GCUCUCGUAGUGUAGUCCGGCCAAUCUUUCCUAAUAGGAAAGGGCUUAGCAUGCUAGGCUUUCACCCUGGUGACCCGGGUUCGAAUCCCGGCGAGGGCACCA
rnacentral:tRNA from 1 species